rnacentral:rRNA from 1 species
AUUGAACGCUGGCGGCAGGCCUAACACAUGCCAGUCGAACGGUAACAGGAAGAAGCUUGCUUCUUUGCUGACGAGUGGCGGACGGGUGAGUAAUGUCUGGGAAACUGCUUGAUGGAGGGGGAUAACUACUGGAAACGGUAGCUAAUACCGCAUAACUUCGCAAGCCCAAAGAGGGGGACCUUCGGGCCUCUUGCCAUCGGCUGUGCCCAGGUGGCAUUAGCUAGUAGGUGGGGUAACGGCUCACCUAGGCGACGAUCCGUAGCUGGUCUGAGAGGAUGACCGGCCACACUGGAACUGAGACACGGUCCAGACUCCUACGGGAGGCAGCAGUAGGGAAUAUUGCGCAAUGGGCGCAAGCCUGAUGCAGCAAUGCCGCGUGUAUGAAGAAGGCCUUCGGGUUGUAAAGUACUUUUAGCGGGGAUGAAGGGAGUAAAGAUAAUACCUUGGCUCAUUGACGUUACCCGCAGAAGAAGCACCGGCUAACUACGUG